UGAAAAGAAGAAAAGGUUAUGGUGUCACAAGCAGGCGAUUGUUGCUUUGAUAAUAUAUAAUAUGGAUUGAAAUUUUAUAGUGAAAAGGAUGAGAAUAUUAGGAGUGAUGUAAAGAUGGCAAGUGGGUAGUGAUGAUUUGGUGAUUAAAAGGUGUAAUAAUAAAAAGGCAUGAGGAAAUGAUUUGUUUACUCCAUCAAAGUGCUUAUAAUUUAUAAGGUUGUAGUAGUAAUGAUUUGGUUGAGCAGCGUUUAUGGGGCUUAUCAUUACAAACCACCUGCGCUCUCCUCUUCACAUCAUUUCGUUUGCUAAAUAAAAAUCAUGCAAUGGACGCCUUAUAUUGUUUUCUUAAGUUUGAUUCACACCACCCCUGCUUUUGUGGAUACUAUAGGAAUGCCUAUGAACUCUAGAUUAGGCAUCAAUUGAUUCUAAUGAUUUAGUAAUCGAAUGUGAUUACUUUUCGCAAUAGAAAUGUCAUCUGAAGUCAUAUAAACUUUGUAAAUAAUAAACCAUUAGCCCAAUCACCAAGACUGGUAGGCUAGAGCCAUUGACCAACCCCAACAGGUUUAGCGCAUUAACACUCAUUCUAUACCAGACAUGGCUUGAAAAGAUAACUCAGGUCAGGUAUAGACGUAUAGGUCAGCAUCACUCCGUGGAGGUGAGAUAAGAAAACGAAUCAGGUGAUGAUGUGGUACGUAUCAAAUUACACACAACCAGCCAAGAAAAUGUGUUUGACUACUGAGAAAACAAAACAAAAUAAGAGAGAAACAUAAAUCAUUCAAUAAGAAUUUGAUUAUAUCAUCAUAUCUGAUUGCUACUGUAGCAUACAUCUUUAUAUAGCAUCAUGCACCGUGUGCUCAUUAUUAACUGAUGCAUAACAACAUUACAACUGACUUCAAACACUUUGGCUAACUACCAUCAUCUGUAUAAGAACUUCCAACUGCUUAACUGAUAGAGUUGCAUUGUUAACUGAUCUUGGAAUCUAUUCACUAACAUUCCCCUGGUUGUCUUUAUCUGAAAACUUCAAAACAUCAGUAAGAGCCAUUACUUGAAGGUUGUUUCGAAAAGAAGCAAACAGUAACUCAAACACACAAUUAGCUAAGCUGCGAUACUCAGUCUCUGAACAAGACCUGGAAACAACUCCCUGCUUUUUAGAACACCAGGCAAUAGGAUUCGGACCAAGGUACACAUAGUAAGUAACCUGAAGUAGAACGUCGAUCUUCAAUUGUAGAGGCCCAAUCUGCAUCUGCAUAGCAUACAACAACAAGCUGCCCUCUAGUAUAAUACAUGCAUAUUCCAUCGUUCCAAUGAGGUAUUGAAGCACUCGUUUCACUACUCGCCAAUGAGUAUCCAAGGGCGAGUUCAUGUAUUGACUAAGUUUGUUAACAACAUAAGGAAGACCUUUUAUUUUCUAAAUCUAGUUGGUUUCUUCCUUUCAAGUUAGAUUCGAAUCGAAUCUUUUUUCGAGUCGAAUAACGUAAAUACGGUCUUGGUCUGCUAUCCUUGUCACAUUCAAAUUAGUAUUGGAUUUUGUUAAAACAACAACAUAUUUGAUAAGCGGCGAGGGUGGAGUUAAGGUGCCAUCAACGAAUUUCUGCAACUUAUGGGCCUUCAACGCAAGGACAUCUGUUGAUGCCAAAGAAGAUAAUUAGUAUCAUCGAGUACUAUAUUAAAUCUUUUUUGUAAAGAAUAGUUGAUUGUCAGAGGCCAUCAGAAGAAGGAAUGCUCCGCAGCGUCAGUGAAUCAUUCCAGAGAGAUCAAUAUUUGGAGGUGCCAUAGGAUGGCAAGAGAGAGAGAGAGAGAGAGAACUAAUACACGAACUAGAGAAGAGAAUUCGUGAGGAAAAAUAACUCUGAUACCAUAUCAGAUUACACACAAUCAACCAAGAAAAUUGUUUGGCUACUAAGAAAACAAAAGAAAAUAAGAAAGAAACAUAAAACGUUCAAUAAGAAUCUGAUUAUAUCAUCAUAUCUGAUUGCGAUAGCAACAUACAUCUUUACAUAGCAUCAUGCACAGUGUGCUCAUCACUAACUGAUGCAUAACAACAUUACAGCAGAUUACAACUGACUUCAACCACUUUGACUAGCUACCAUCAACCAUAUAACAACUUCCAACUGCUUAACUGAUAGAGCUACACUAUUGGUUGAUCUUGGAAUUUAUUCACUCAUAGUACAAUAUCAUAGUGUCACAUUUGCUGACACAUUUGAUGGCAAGGUUAAUUCUAGGUUGUUUUUGUGUCUGAAACAGUGGUCACACCUUCAUGCACUGUUCCAUUGCCUUAUUUGCCUCUUUUAAGAGUUAAUAGAUUUUAGAACAAAAGCUUUGGACUAUUUAUUUUUGAUGAUAUUGGAUGAGUAAAGCCCAAAACCAUGAAGACUAAUUGAGUGAUCUAGUCUUUGAACAAUAGUGAGAUCGCUAAAAUUGAUGAGUGCUAAACCAGUGUUAGGACUUAAUUAAUCAUUUGUUGUACUGUGAGAAAGGCCCCACGGACAUACACUGAGGUCAAACUGCGUAAUCAAUCUCAAUGUUCAUUUUAUAUUUUUAUACUUUAAGUUUCGUGAUUGAAACUGUGGCCACAGCUCCAAGCACUAUUGCGGCCAAAGUUUUUGUUUGCAAAGCAAAUAACCCCUCGUUUCUACAACAUUCAAUCUUUUAAUAAUCGGGUCCAUGGUUGAACAAGCUAGACCAUCUGUUCCUGGUUCAAUCAGUUUGAUUGAUUCGACUGGCAAAUCAACAAUAAUUAAAUAAAUAAUUAAAAAUCAUAAAGAUCUAAAAAAAAAUUAAACUCGUUCAACUGUCGAUUUUUGUCUUGAUUUUUUUUUUUUACCAAUUUCAAGCAAUUUUCGAGUCAAUCGAUCCAACCCCUUUGUUCAAAUCAUUAUAUGGAUCAAUUCUCAAUCCAUCCAAUUCAAUAACAUUGAUUAGUCACAUCAUCAAAUCUUGAUAGAAUCUAAAUUUAAUGACCAAAAUGAAUCUAAUUGUCAAAUUCAAUGACAAAAGUGGACAAAACAAUACAAAUAUCAAUAUGGACCUAGUUAUCAAAUUCAGAGGCUAAAAUUUAUAUUAUCCUUUAUUUUUAUAUUUUUUAAACUUAAAAGUAUUUUGCAAAAGGAAAAGAAAAGAGAAGACAUGUAGUUACGAAGCGUAUUCAUGGGAUGCCAUGGAAGUUGAGAAGUAUGGGGAACCCUUUGGUGACAAAUUAUCUUCGACAUUAAUGAUGAAUACAUACAUAUCACCGACGGCUUAGGCGGGGCAUCUUUUGGUUUGAUAUUUUUUUUUUGAGUAAACUACCUAAUUGGUCACCCAAUUUUUUAAGCAUUUUCAUUUUGGUCUUCUAAAUAAAAAUACUUGCAAUUUAGUCACUACUAGUAGAAUAAUUAAAUAUUUUAAUCACCUAAUUUUUAACUCACUAACAAAAUCUAAUGUGGUGUUCCACAUCAUGUCCAAAUAAGCAGUAAUUGUUGACUAUUUUUUGAUCCACUACUAUUCAUCAUAUUCUUCCCCUCUAAAUGUAACGACCCAAAAUUCAGUGGUGUUGAAAAUUAUAAUUUUGGGACCUAUUUUCGUAAAUUGAGUCCGUAAAUCAAGCCAUUUACUAAUUAAAAAUCUAUAGCGAUUGGAUUUUACAAUUUAGUCCCUGGGCCUUAAUUAAACAUAAUUUCAGCUAAAUUAACUAUCCAAAUUUACAUAUAACAAUAUAUUAUACACAUCAAUAUUAAUAUUUAAUAUUUAAUAUUUACGAACUCGAUUUUCAAAAAUGAGAUCCGAAAUCGUAAUUUUUGACACCAUUGAAUUUCAGGUCGUUACAUGUGGAGGGGAAGAAGAUGAUGAAUAGUAGUGGGUCAAAAAAUAGUCAACAAUUACUGCUUAUGUGGACAUGAUGUGGAUUGCCACAUCAGAUUUUGUUAGUGAGUUAACAGUUGGGUGACUAAAAUGUUUAAUUAUUCUACUGGCAGUGACUAAAUUGCAAGUAUUUUUAUUUGGGUGACCAAAAUAAAAGUAUUCAAAAAUUUGGGUGACCAAUUAAGUAGUUUAUCCAAUUUCUUUUUAGAGUUUUAAAAACUAUAAAAGUAUAAUUAAUAAAACUGUAAAAUUUUUGUUUUGGUCCCUAAAGUUUUACAAUUCAAAUAUGAAUUCCUCGAUAUAAAAAUUUCAAGUUUACGAAAUGCAAUACAAGGUUUACCAUUACUCAAAAAUAGAGAGUUUUCUAUCAAUAAUGUGAUUUCCCACCAUCACGCUUCACAACUGGCUUGACAUUCUUAUCUAUUAAGAGAAUAAAGUUAAAAUAUGCUAUAAGUUUUUAUACUCUUUAUUUAUCUGAAUUUUAGUUUUAUACUUUUAUUUUUUAGAAUUUAGUUUCUCUACUUUUUGAAUUUAAAAAUUCAGUUAAAAUCGUUAGCACAGUUAAAAUUAUUCUAUUAAAUUCAUUGGUGUGACGCUUUGUAGCCAUGUAAUAAAAAAAAAUAACAUUGUAAUGGACUUGAAUUUAAGAAGAAUAUCAAUUGGAUUUGCUUUUUUAAAUCCAAAAAGUAAAUACUUAAAAAUAAAAGUAGAAGAACUAAAUUUCAAAUAUAAAAAAAGUACAAAGAAUUGAAAUAUAUUUUAACUUAAAAAUAAUUAUAUGUUAUCAAUUGUGUUGAAUAUGUGUAAAUACUUAAGUAAUUAAUUUCUAAUUUAUGAAAAUUUAAUUAAAAAUUAGAAUAAAUAUGUAAAAGUUACAUGUCGAAACCGUUUUUUUGAAAAACAAAAAUUUGGUUGUCGAUUUUAAAAAUAAAAAUUGGAGUCGCCACCGAUCCUUUAUUAAGGUGUGAUCGGCUCACCUUAAAAUGAUUUUGGUCUACAAAUUUUGAGAAAACGAGUUCGGAAGUCAGUUACGCACGAGGAAGGGUUAGCACCCUCGUAACGCCCAAAAUUGGUACCAAAUUGAUUAUUUAAUGUCUUAGUGUCGAAAGUUAAAAAAGAUUUUAAAAUAAGCUUGAAUGAUGAAACUUGCAAAAGGAUAACAAAUUGCUCAAGUCAUGUAAAGAAAUCGAGUCCCAAUACGUUAGGGUACAAUUCCUCAUAAUCCUCGAACUUUGAAUAUCACUUUUUAUUUUAUGCGAAAAUCUUCAUUUCAAGAAUGUAACAUGCCACACCCAAUACGUUAGGGCACGACAAAUUAAGUUCCCAAAAAUGAUUUUUGGUGCUCGUGUAUUUAAAAUAAAGAAUAUCCUCGGUAAUUUGAAAUCAGCAAAGAAAAUCAGAACCCAAUACGUUAGGGCUCAAUUUUCCUCGACAAUCCCAAAACCUUGAAUAUUGUUUUUUAUUCACAAAAACUUAUGAAUUGAGAAAAAUUGAUUUUAAGGCUUUGAUAAAACCAAAAAAGAAAUAAUUUCUAAAAAGUAUGCUGAAAACCUCAAUGAACAAUUAUGAGGCAAAUACUUUAAUUUAAAGCUUAUAUGAAUAAAUAUUUACAAAUAUAUAUACAAGUACAGUAAGCAAAUUUGCAGAUAUGUAGACACAUAUACUUAACACACAUACGAUAAUACAUAUAAAAAGAUGGAAUGCAAUAUAUAUAAAAAUGCAUGUAUGGGUGAAUAUGAAAAUUGUAAAAAUAAAAAAUAAAAAAAUGUACAUACGUUAAUGCAUAUAUAAGUGAACCAAUAAAACAAAAUUUAUAAUAAUUUCUAAAAACAUGUAUGUGUAAAAAAUGCAUAUGAAUUAGAAAAUGUAGGCAUAUACACAUAUAUAUGUACAUAUUUAUUUAUAUAAACUAUGGGAGCAGAAUAUAUAAAAAUAUAUGAAAUAUGUGUAUAUAAGAACUAAAAUAUGUAUGCAUAUAUGUAUUUAUUUUAAAACGUAUAAAUAUAUAUAUGGAAUAUAAAAUAUGAGAAAGUUAAAAAACUGUAAAAAAAAAGUUUUAAAAAAAAUGUAUGAAUGCAUGUGUUCAUGAAAAUUUAAAAACAUAUAUGUAUUAAUUAAGCAUUAAGAUAGGCGUAUAUAAUAAUAAUAAUAAUAAUAAUAAUAAUAAUAAUAAUAUCAAUAAAUAGGAUAAAAUAAAAAUGAUAUAGCAUAAUUAUGAUAAAAACAAAAAAAUAGAUUAAAUUGAGUUAAAAACGAAGCAAUGGGGCGAAUUUAAAAUAAAAUUUAAAAAAGAGGCCCACACGAAUGCGCGCGUAACAAUGGAGGACCAAAAGGGAAAUUAUCCCAUCCUUCCCGAAACGCUGCGCAUCAAUGGGUUAAAUUGGAACACACAAAAAAAAUGCGACUCAAUUUGCAAAAAGAACAAAUCGGUUUGACUGAAGCAAGUCACAAAAAACAGGGGCCAAAUGCGCAAUUAGACCUUAAAAGCCAAACGCGCGGAUCCUCCCCUUCGGGUCGGGUCACCGCGCGGGUCGAGGCCUGGACAAAACGGCGCCGUUUUACUCUGCUAUUUAAAGCAGUAUUUUUUUUUAAAAAAAAAUCAAUUUGCAGCAGAAUAAAAAGAAAAAAAUGAAAGGAAGGAAAAAAAAUUUCCUCUGCUAGGGUUUCGCCUCAGUCCCUUGCGCCGCUGUCCAUCCGCCGUGGUUUCAUCGCAACCAGUGGCCGGAGGCGCGCCAAACUGGGUUUUUUAACCCUUUUUCGAGCCGAUCUGAGGGCGAGGUAAGCCUCUCUCCCUUUUCUUUUACUUUUGUAUGCACAGAAACUAAACAAAAAUAAAAAACUAAAGAAAUUUUAAUAAAUCACCUUAAAACUGAUAUUUGCUUUUCUAUUGAUUUUUCUCUCUGUCAUGUAUUUCUCUUUUUCCCCUUUUACAGAUUUCUAAAGGCUUUUUAUAGCCCGAAAAAGAAAAAGAAAAAUAAUAAAAUCAACAUCUGUCUUUGCUGUUUUUUCUCUUUCGGAUUCUUUGAACCCGUUUUUGCAGGUGUCGUGGAGCGAAUGGUGCGCGUGGGGAGGCCGAUCUCCGAGUCCUGCGGCGGCUGGAGGCUGGGGAGGUUGCUGCUUGUUGCGGCUACUUGCUGCUAAGGUUUUCUGUAGUAUUGGGCUAGUUCAAUUGGGCCUACAUGUGUUGGGCCAUUCUAGGUUUAGUUGGGCCCGGGCAUUAUUGGGUUUGUACAUUACAUAUUAGAAAUUUAUGACAACAUAGAUUGUAUGAACAUAUAACAUUUGUUUAAUGCAAAUAAAUGACUGAAUAAAUUUAGAUAAAUGGUUUAAAUAUUUCAUGGUGGUUGCAUGUUAAAAAAAAAUAUUGGAAAAGAAACCGAUCAAAGAUUAGGGUUUUUGGUGGCUUAGGGUGUCGUGACUUUGUAUAAUAGCAGCGCAACGCGGUAAUGCAGAAAGGUUUCGAAUGUACUCAAGGCACCGCGACCCCACCUCUUGGUGUUGCAUUCUAUAUAACAAAGCCCUGCAUCAGAUUCAUACGGAGAGCCAUGAAGUAACCUCUUGGCGCUACAGUGUCUAUAAGACUACAUUGUUUUGCAUUAUUUCGGGAUCUAUAAAUUUCAGUUUAUUUAAAUAAAAUUUAUAAAUUUCAAUACAUCAGCUACAUUUGUUCAUGUAAUUUAUUUUAUUGAUGAUUUGAAAUAACAACAUUUGCAUCUCCAAGGGUUGUUUGUAUGCAG
rnacentral:lncRNA from 1 species